GUCGGGUUGGGUCGGGUCCUAGGUGACCCCGAUCCGACCCGGUUGCAUGUUCGGGUCCUAAUUUUGGACCCAGACCCGACCCGGUUGAAAAACGGAUCGGGUCGGGUCGGGUCCAUACCUACCCCGAUGGGUCAUUCGGGUCGGGUCGGGUCCGGAUCUGGUCGGGUCCGGAUCGGGUCCGGGUCGGAUUUGUAUUUUUAAUUCAAUAUUUUGUCAACUCCAAUACUCCAUCACCGAUUCACCAAUUCACCAUCAGGCUGAAAGGCUGGAAGCGUGAAAAUAAAGGCUGCAAGCUCAACAAUUCAAUAUCUGUUACAUUCAAAACCGGUUCAGAAUACGUUUCACCAAAAAAAUUGAAGGCAAAUUGAUCAACCAGGUUUAGAUCUAGCUUAUUCAAAUAGGUUUAAUUUGUUCGCUUUAGAACUAUAACUAAUAGUUCUAAUAUUGUACAAAUCAUACAUAUAUACAUACAUGCAUACAUCAAGAAAAGGAAGGAUUGAGGAAAAAGGGCCGCGAGAACAGCGGGCCAGGGCACCAACCUUGGACACCUUCUCGACGACCAUGGCCCUGUUAUUUCCGCCGAACGCAUCGACGAGCUCACCGAAAACGAUAGUCAUGAUCGGCAUCGCCACCCCGU
rnacentral:lncRNA from 1 species